rnacentral:rRNA from 1 species
UGCGUAGGUGGCGCCGUAAGUCAGGUGUGAAAUCUCGGGGCUUAACUCCGAAACUGCAUUUGAUACUGCGGUGCUUGAGGACUGGAGAGGAGACUGGAAUUUACGGUGUAGCAGUGAAAUGCGUAGAGAUCGUAAGGAAGACCAGUGGCGAAGGCGGGUCUCUGGACAGUUCCUGACACUGAGGCACGAAGGGCCAGGGGAGGCAAACG